AUACGGAGGGUGCAAGCGUUAAUCGGAAUUACUGGGCGUAAAGCGUACGUAGGCGGUUUGUUAAGUCAGAUGUGAAAGCCCCGGGCUCAACCUGGGAACUGCAUUUGAAACUGGCAGGCUAGAGUAUGGUAGAGGGGGGUAGAAUUUCUGGUGUAGCGGUGAAAUGCGUAGAUAUCAGAAGGAAUACCGAUGGCGAAGGCAGCCCCCUGGACCAAUACUGACGCUGAGGUACGAAAGCGUGGGGAGCAAACAGGAUUAGAAACCCCAGUAGUCC
rnacentral:rRNA from 1 species